UACGUAGGUGGCUAGCGUUGUCCGGAUUUACUGGGCGUAAAGCGCGCGCAGGCGGUCGUUCAAGUCGAGUGUGAAAGCCCCGGCUCCAACUGGGGAGGGUCAUUCGAUACUGUUCGACUCGAAGGCAGGAGAGGGAAGUGGAAUUCCCGGUGUAGUGGUGAAAUGCGUAGAUAUCGGGAGGAACACCGGUGGCGAAGGCGGGUCUCUGGGCCGUAACUGACGCUGAGGAGCGAAAGCGUGGGGAGCGAACAGG
rnacentral:rRNA from 1 species